UCGACGCGUAAAAUUUAAGGUGUCCUGAACUGUAACAAACUUCAAGACUUAAUAGGGAAUGUGGUGCAAUAGGCAAAAUGGCUUAUUAAUUCCACAGCUGUUCCCGCAACUGUAAAUAGAAUCAAUGAAAACAUUCUAUGAGUCAGAAAACCUGCCUUAAAUGUUAAUUAAUG
rnacentral:ncRNA from 2 species